rnacentral:rRNA from 1 species
GACGAACGCUGGCGGCGUGCCUAAUACAUGCAAGUCGAACGCAGUGGGGACGGGUGAGUAACACGUGGGUAACCUCCCAUCAGAGGGGAUAACACUUGGAAACAGGUGCUAAAACCGAAACUGAUGGAUGGACCCGGGGUGCAUUAGCUAGUUGGUGAGGUAACGGCUCACCAAGGCAACGAUGCAUAGCCGGCCUGAGAGGAUGAUCGGCCACACUGGAACUGAGACACGGCCCAGACUCCUACGGGAGGUAGCAGUAGGGAAUAUUGGGCAAUGGGCGAAAGUCUGACCCAGCCACGCCGCGUGAGUGAAGAAGGUCUUCGGAUCGUAAAACUCUGUUGUUAGAGAAGCGGUAUCUAACCAGAAAGCCACGGCUAACUACGUGCCAGCAGCCGCGGUAAUAC